rnacentral:rRNA from 1 species
AGAGUUUGAUCCUGGCUCAGGACGAACGCCGGCGGCGCGCUUAACACAUGCAAGUCGAGCGAUGAAAUUUUGACAGAUCCCUUCGGGGUGAAGAUAAAAUGGAUUAGCGGCGGACGGGUGAGUAACACGUGAGUAACCUGCCUUAGACAUUGGGAUAGCCUCGGGAAACCGGGAUUAAUACCGAAUAAAAUCACAGAUACACAUGUAUCCAUGAUCAAAACUCCGGUGGUCUAAGAUGGACUCGCGUCCCAUUAGCUAGUUGGUGAGGUAACGGCCCACCAAGGCGACGAUGGGUAGCCGGCCUGAGAGGGUGAACGGCCACAUUGGAACUGAGAAACGGUCCAAACUCCUACGGGAGGCAGCAGUGGGGAAUAUCGCACAAUGGAGGGAACUCUGAUGCAGCGACGCCGCGUGAACGAAGAAGGCUUUCGAGUCGUAAAGUUCUUUUAUAUGGGAAGAUAAUGACGGUACCAUAAGAAAAAGCCCCGGCUAACUACGUGCCAGCAGCCGCGGUAAUACGUAGGGGGCUAGCGUUGUCCGGAAUCACUGGGCGUAAAGGGUUCGCAGGCGGAAAUGCAAGUCAGAUGUAAAAGGCAGUAGCUUAACUACUGUAAGCAUUUGAAACUGCAUAUCUUGAGAAGAGUAGAGGUAAGUGGAAUUUUUAGUGUAGCGGUGAAAUGCGUAGAUAUUAAAAAGAAUACCGGUGGCGAAGGCGACUUACUGGGCUCAUUCUGACGCUGAGGAACGAAAGCGUGGGUAGCAAACAGGAUUAGAUACCCUGGUAGUCCACGCUGUAAACGAUGAGUGCUAGGUGUCGGCUUAAGUCGGUGCCGCAGUUAACACAAUAAGCACUCCGCCUGGGGAGUACGUGCGCAAGCAUGAAACUCAAAGGAAUUGACGG